UUUUUUCCUUGAGAUGGAAUCUUGCUCUGUAGUCCAGGCUGGAGUGCAGUGGGGCAAUCUCAGCUCACUACAACCUCCACCUCCCGGGUUCAAGCGAUUCUCCUGCCUCAGCCUCCCAGGUAGCUGAGACUACAGGCGCCUACCACUGCGCCUGGCUGAUUUUUUUGUAUUUUUAGUAGAGACGGGGUUUCACCAUGUGAGCCAGGCUCGUCUCGAACUCCUCACCUCGUGAUCUGCCUGCCUCGGCCUCCCAAAGUGCUGGGAUUACAGGCAUGAAUCACUGCGUCCAGCUUUUUUUUUUUUUGAGACACAGUCUCCCUCUGUCACCGAGGCUGGAGUGCAGUGGUGCCACCUUGGCUUAUUGCAACCUCCCCCUCCUGGAUUCAAGUGAUUCUCCUGCCUCAGCCUCCAGAGUAGCUGGGAUUACAGGCAUGCACCAUCAUGCCCGGCUCCUUUUUGUAUUUUUGUCAAGAUGGGGUUUCACCACGUUGGCCAGGCUGGUUUUGAACUCCUGACCUCAAGCGAUCUGCCUGCCUCAGCCUCCCAAAUUGCUGGGAUUACAGGUGUGAGCCACUGCGCCCAGCCUAGUAAUGUUUCUUGGUUUUGAAGUAGGUAAAUUUUAAUGUGGCAUAUUAUGCAAUAGCUACUUGGAUUCCACACUAUCGGCAAACAGAAACUAAAAGAAGGUUUUAAUGCUCAAGGAAUGUCUGCUGCGGAGUCAACUAAAAGUAAUUUAAGGAAACAGGACCACAUGGAAUCCUGGAAUCUACAUGUUUCCCUUUUUUAUUUCUCUCCUUACUUUCUGUCAAAGAACUAUGUGACUCUCUGGUCAAGUGUUUCUGUUUCAAGUCACCUUGAUCCUUAUUAUUUCCCACUGAAUGCUUUUCUCCCACAAGACCAAAGGAUCACAUGCCUAAACAAUGACAGGGCAAAAACUUAUAUGGGUCUUUUGUAAACACUCAAUUAACUUGCCACAGUGAUUUCCAUUAUUAUCACGUGAUUCUACUUCUUUGUAAAUGAUCCUGUGAGCUUUAGCCUUCUCAUUUGUAUCACACAGAUCUGCAUCUUGUGAGGUCAGGAUACACUGUCCAACUGCCUACCUUCCUCUGGGCAAUGCUCUAAAUGCUGACCCAGAAAAAAGGAAGAGAAAAACUCACUGUUCAGCUUUUUGUCUUCAUGAUCACUCAGAAGUUCUCUCUCUCUCGCUUGCUACCAAGCUAGCUUUGAGAUUUACUGCUUUUGGUCAAAAUACACUCUUCCACUAAUGCCUUCUUCCAGCUGGCUGUCUUCUUGCCUGCCCUAUGUCGUAAAAUGGGGGUCCCUUACUGCAUUAUCCAAGGGGAAGGCAAGACUGGGCUGUCUAGUCCAGGACCAAUUACAACGACAGAUACGACGAGAUUCACCAUCACGGGGGCGGCAAUGUCCCGGGUCCCAAGUCUGUGGCGCACGUUGCCAAGCUCAAAAAGGCAAAGGCUAAAGAACAUGCCGCUAAACUGGGUUAAAUGUACACUGUUGAGUGUUCUGUACAUAAAAAUAAUUAAAAUAAUACAAAUUUUCCUUCAAAAAAUAAAUACAAAUACUUAUUUUAGUAAAAUUAAGGCCUAUUUAUGAAG
rnacentral:lncRNA from 10 species